AUUGAACGCUGGCGGCAGGCUUAACACAUGCAAGUCGAGCGGGGGAAGGUAGCUUGCUACUGGACCUAGCGGCGGACGGGUGAGUAAUGCUUAGGAAUCUGCCUAUUAGUGGGGGACAACAUCUCGAAAGGGAUGCUAAUACCGCAUACGUCCUACGGGAGAAAGCAGGGGAUCUUCGGACCUUGCGCUAAUAGAUGAGCCUAAGUCGGAUUAGCUAGUUGGUGGGGUAAAGGCCCACCAAGGCGACGAUCUGUAGCGGGUCUGAGAGGAUGAUCCGCCACACUGGGACGGAGACACGGCACAGACUCCUACGGGAGGCAGCAGUGGGGAAUAUUGGACAAUGGGGGGAACCCUGAUCCAGCCAUGCCGCGUGUGUGAAGAAGGCCUUAUGGUUGUAAAGCACUUUAAGCGAGGAGGAGGCUACUCUAGUUAAUACCUAGGGAUAGUGGACGUUACUCGCAGAAUAAGCACCGGCUAACUCUGUGCCAGCCGCCGCCGUAA
rnacentral:rRNA from 1 species